UACGGAGGGGGCUAGCGUUGUUCGGAAUUACUGGGCGUAAAGCGCGAGCGUAGGCGGCUUUGUAAGUUAGAGGUGAAAAGCCCGGAGCUCAACUCCGGAACUGCCUUUAAGACUGCAUCGCUAGAAUUGUGGAGAGGUGAGUGGAAUUCCGAGUGUAGAGGUGAAAUCGAUAGAUAUUCGGAAGAACACCAGUGCGAGGCGACUCACU
rnacentral:rRNA from 1 species